GACGGGAUGGAUUUGGGGAGCCAUCGCAGGAGCAGUGGAUUGGAGUGGUGGUCGGUGAUUUGGGAUGAGGAUGGGAGAGCGAGAGAAACUAAUCGAUCGGAGUACUCAAUCAAUCGCGGAUGCAGAUCAUACGCACAGGAGAGGGCGCCGCACGUUAAAACCAAUUCUACCACUGGGGUAAGAGAAACUUUGCAUUAUGUUCUUACACCUUAAAUGUAGAAUAGCGAUGUACUAACUUGUAGCUACUCGCUUGAAUAUUUGAAGCACUCUUAUGCUAAUCUUCCUAUCUAUAUCCAUGAAAAUGGUAAGUAUUUUGCAAUUAUUAUUAAUGACAGAUUAGUUUGUUGAUUUGGCAGCUGUGUAUACCUUUUCAAUGUAUCAUGUCCAAUUGAAGUACAAUGGAGAAUUGUGCAUUUUAAGCCAUUAUUAUGAGCUUUGCCUAAAACAUUCCGUAGUGCUACAGUAACAUGUGCACAUUUUGUCUAAAUAUUAUAUCCAGACUUAUCAGUGCCAAUUUUUUUUUUUUAUAUAUACUUUGGCAUGACUUGCAAAAAUUGUUCAACUCCAGGAUACCCAAUGCAUCAAGAUGUGGUAUUUGAUGAUGGCCCUAGGGUGGAGUUCUUAAGUGAAAACCUUAGAAGCCUACUUACUGCUGUCAGGAAUGGCUCAAACACUAGGGUCUAUUUCGUGUGGUCGUUGAUGGACUUGUAUGAACUACUCAGUGUCCGGGACACCUAUGGACUCUAUUACGUGGAUUUUGCUGACAAGGAUAUGAAGAGGUAUCCAAGGAGCUCUGCGAUCUGGCCCGUGUCCACUCAGGCCCGAAUCAUUUGCCAUGCUUGAUUGAUUGGACCGACCUAGAGCAAGUGAUUUUGGCUCGAGUGCACACGUGGAAACUGACUGUUGGACCCACAUGUUAGAAAGCCCGUCAAAUGGCCUAAACUGACGGAUUAGGGACCUAGGGUUUUUUUAGAAGCUUUGUCCGAAAAGAGGUGGUUCAUUGAGACAAUUAGCGUUAACUGUGGUUCUGUGAGAAAAAUGACACAAAAUGCGUGGUUUCAUGAAAUUUACUUCUUUUUCUAA